rnacentral:rRNA from 1 species
AGCCUUUGACAUGUCCCGUAUGGGCCCCAGAGAUGGGGUUCUUCAGUUCGGCUGGCGGGAACACAGGUGCUGCAUGGCUGUCGUCAGCUCGUGUCGUGAGAUGUUGGGUUAAGUCCCGCAACGAGCGCAACCCUCGGCCUUAGUUGCCAUCAUUUAGUUGGGCACUCUAAGGCGACUGCCGGUGAUAAGCCGGAGGAAGGUGGGGAUGACGUCAAGUCCUCAUGGCCCUUACAGGCUGGGCUACACACGUGCUACAAUGGCGGUGACAGAGGGAUGCAAUGGAGCAAUCCUGCGCAAAUCUCAAAAAGCCGUCUCAGUUCGGAUUGUGCUCUGCAACUCGAGCACAUGAAGUUGGAAUCGCUAGUAAUCGCAGAUCAGCACGCUGCGGUGAAUACGUUCCCGGGCC